UACGUAGGGGGCAAGCGUUGUCCGGAAUCAUUGGGCGUAAAGCGCGUGUAGGCGGUUCGGUAAGUCUGCUGUGAAAGUCCAGGGCUCAACCCUGGGAUGCCGGCGGAUACUGUCGGACUAGAGUACGGAAGAGGCGAGUGGAAUUCCCGGUGUAGCGGUGAAAUGCGCAGAUAUCGGGAGGAACACCAAUUGCGAAGGCAGCUCGCUGGGACGUUACUGACGCUGAGACGCGAAAGCGUGGGGAGCAAACAGG
rnacentral:rRNA from 1 species